rnacentral:rRNA from 1 species
UGGUGGGUAGUUUGACUGGGGCGGUCUCCUCCCAAAGCGUAACGGAGGAGCACGAAGGUUAGCUAAUCCUGGUCGGACAUCAGGAGGUUAGUGCAAUGGCAUAAGCUAGCUUGACUGCGAGCGUGACGGCGCGAGCAGGUGCGAAAGCAGGUCAUAGUGAUCCGGUGGUUCUGAAUGGAAGGGCCAUCGCUCAACGGAUAAAAGGUACUCCGGGGAUAACAGGCUGAUACCGCCCAAGAGUUCAUAUCGACGGCGGUGUUUGGCACCUCGAUGUCGGCUCAUCACAUCCUGGGGCUGAAGUAGGUCCCAAGGGUAUGGCUGUUCGCCAUUUAAAGUGGUACGCGAGCUGGGUUUAGAACGUCGUGAGACAGUUCGGUCCCUAUCUGCCGUGGGCGCUGGAGAAUUGAGGGGGGCUGCUCCUAGUACGAGAGGACCGGAGUGGACGCAUCACUGGUGUUCGGGUUGUCAUGCCAAUGGCACUGCCC